rnacentral:rRNA from 1 species
GUAAUAAUCCUGUAGUCGAAAAUGUUGUCUCUCUUGAGUGGAUCCUGAGUACGACGGAGCACGUGAAAUUCCGUCGGAAUCUGGGAGGACCAUCUCCUAAGGCUAAAUACUCUCUAGUGACCGAUAGUGAACCAGUACCGUGAGGGAAAGGUGAAAAGCACCCCGGAAGGGGAGUGAAAUAGAACCUGAAAUCGUGUGCUUACAAGUAGUCAGAGCCCGUUAAUGGGUGAUGGCGUGCCUUUUGUAGAAUGAACCGGCGAGUUACGAUUUGAUGCAAGGUUAAGCAGUAAAUGUGGAGCCGUAGCGAAAGCGAGUCUGAAUAGGGCGUUUAGUAUUUGGUCGUAGACCCGAAACCAGGUGAUCUACCCUUGGUCAGGUUGAAGUUCAGGUAACACUGAAUGGAGGACCGAACCGACUUACGUUGAAAAGUGAGCGGAUGAACUGAGGGUAGCGGAGAAAUUCCAAUCGAACCUGGAGAUAGCUGGUUCUCUCCGAAAUAGCUUUAGGGCUAGCCUCAAGUGAUGAUUAUUGGAGGUAGAGCACUGUUUGGACGAGGGGCCCCUCUCGGGUUACCGAAUUCAGACAAACUCCGAAUGCCAAUUAAUUUAACUUGGGAGUCAGAACAUGGGUGAUAAGGUCCGUGUUCGAAAGGGAAACAGCCCAGACCACCAGCUAAGGUCCCAAAAUAUAUGUUAAGUGGAAAAGGAUGUGGCGUUGCCCAGACAACUAGGAUGUUGGCUUAGAAGCAGCCAUCAUUUAAAGAGUGCGUAAUAGCUCACUAGUCGAGUGACACUGCGCCGAAAAUGUACCGGGGCUAAACAUAUUACCGAAGCUGUGGAUUGUCCUUUGGACAAUGGUAGGAGAGCGUUCUAAGG